GGGCACGAGGCCGGGAGGGAGCCGCUCUGGGUGGCCACGUGACGGCAGCGAAGCGCGCGCGAGAGCUCGUUCAUCCGGGUACCUUCGUGGCGUCGGCGGAUGAGGUAGAACGCCAAGCUCCUCCCCUCCCGUGUCGUUGGUGGGGGGGGAGCUACCUGAGGCGCGUGUCCCCUCCGCGCUGCUGGGACCGCGGCAGAGACGUGGCGCCUGAGGGGCCCUGUGCACGUGCUGGGGCGUUACAGCCAUGAACUGCUGCCCCGCCCCUCGGCAAGGCCAGGGGAGCUGUUCGCGUCUCUGCGUCCCAGGUGUUUCCAAAUGAAGAUGUUUUGGUGGCUUUACAGCUGCUGAUGUCAAUGGAGAUGUUUACACAGAGGGCAUUUGGAAUUUUUUGCCAUGUCUCCCUUAUAUUUCAGUGGGAGCUAGAGGUACUGCAAUAUCCACCUUACUAGGAUGGGAAAGAAAAAGAUGGAUAGCUAUGUGGCUACUAAGGGUGUCCUGAGAUCUUGAGAAGAAUUAAGGUGCCCUGUGGAUCACAGAGCUGCUUUGGACUGGGUGGUCCACAUAUUAAAAUAUCAGCAUUCCAGGAGUGGAGAGGGGAGGGCCAUGAGGAGAAGGGCAUGAAAAAAAUCUGAAAUAUGAAUAAAAUUAGUGAUACCUAAUGCUGGUGAAAGGCAUCUGACAGACCCCCUUCCCCUGCUAAAUGGACUUUAAUCUAUGCUACCACUGUGGCUUUAAAAAGCCAUAUGGGUGCUAUUUUAACCAUUUUCUCAGUUUUCAGCCUCUGUUUGUCCCUCCCCUGCUGACAAUUCCCUUACAAACAGAUGGUGUCUCUUCUCAAAUCAUUAAAUAUUCUUCAAAAUGCUUAACCUGGGUAAAAUAUAAAACCAGGGAUUGGGAAUCCAGUUCCAAUAAAAUAUAAAAGAGCCCCCAGAUCCAGAUGAGAUUUAAGAUGAGGUUCAGAUUCAAGGCCAAAGUAAGGUUUGGGAUCCUAUUAACAGGCAUAAACCUAGUGAGACAUUGUUUUGAAAUGCUGGCCUCAAAUGGCUGAAAUCUCAUUAGAUCGGCUGUUUUUAAAUAAGAAUUUUUGACACGUUGGAAUUAAAUCUCUCAGACUUCAGCAGCAUCAGAAAAGGGUAGAUCUGAACAGGGAACCAGAACUGUAUUGAGUGGGUUUAGAUCUGAGUAUUAAUAUGUGACAGCUGUGUCUGGCUGUCUGAAUAUCUGCUGUAUGAACAUUGGUGAUUUUAAUAAUUAGUGAUCUGUAGCUUUUCUUCAGAAGAGAUGUAUAUCUAGUAACACCUUUACAGGUCCCUAUCUGCAUUAACAUUGUAAUGAAGCGAGUUCAAAAAGUGCUGAAGACAAUCAGUGUGCUUAAUGAGAUUAUAUGCAAACCUCCUGAAACAACUUGCCUAAGUAAUCACCGAAAGUGAGGGGGGAAACCUUUUAUUAAUUGCAAAGCAGUAUCUAUCUUAACACUGAAAUAGCAACAGAGGAGAGAUUUAACAUAAGCCAAUAAAAGGCAGGAAAUUAGCUUUUGUUUCUAUGCAGCUCCCUUCCACCCCUAACCCCCAAUGUAAUCAAGUUGAGUUGCGUGUGGAAGAAGGAAGGAAGAAGUGAAUUGUAUUAUAUUGACUCAAGUAUGCACCCCACAAUGAUGUAUUGAGCUGAGUAAAUGCCUCACAUCCACUUCACAAGAAUCAGAACUUUGGUCUUAGGCUUUCUGCUAUGCCCUUAGUAAAGAAAUAUGCAUCAGUGUAACCACAUCAGGGCAGUUCAAACGACUGUAAACAUCUAGUGAAGAUGUUAGCUGCACCAACGUAGAGUUCUGAUUUUGACCUUCCACACCGUCUUUGCAUAAAGUUUAAUCGCUUCCAAUUUGGAGAGGUCAGAUGCCUUGCUAAGGACUGUAAGUGGGGCCGUUGCUGCUCCCAUACUUUGCUGCUGUGGCCAGUUAGAGGUAGUCUACAUACUUGCAGGCUGCCCCCAGGGGCAAGGGCUGCCUGGUUCCCUCAUGGAUUUGCACAAUGCUUCCCUUAGUUAUUGAAUGGUUAAAAUGCUUGACUUGACUGGACUCUUAAGACAACAAUGUUGGGCAAUGAAGGGAAGGGGAUUCUGAUGGACAAGGCUGUAUAAUGAAGCAUGAUGACCAAUUCUCUAAGAAUACAGAGCAGCUGAGAGUCACAGGAAAGGCUUACUAAGGUUACAUGAUUCUUCGAGAAUUGGAUUGAGCCUCUUUAGGGCUCUUUCUGCAGUACUCUGCUGUUCAAGUACAGUUUUGUAUUAUCAACUGCUACUUCAUGCUUUUUUCUUGUUCUGUACUUUGUCAUUAAGGUAGGCAUCUAUUUGAGACAACCUUAAUUGUGUCCUAGUCCUCUUGGUUGAGGAAGAUCACUGAUAUGCAUCUUGGAGAGAAACUGAGCUCUGAUUUUAAGGGAAGCAGGAUUAGAAUCCAUGGAUAACAUAAGGGCAUGGGCAAUAGUGGUUGGGAUUUCCAUCCCUAAACAGUGUCAUGGGGCUGAGUUGGUGCAAUACAGACCAGGAAAGAGCUAAAUGACCUAAGGAUUCAAGGUUCUGGUGCAGAAUCCAGACAGUUUUGUACCAUUUUUAAUAAAGUAAUAUUUGAUAGUGCACUUUCAUCCAACAUCAAGCCUUUGAGACUCCGUGACAAUCAGCUAGCUUGUGCAUGCCAAUGCCUUAAAGAAGUGUUCUUUGUGUGGCACAACACAAGUCCAGCUGGAACCAGCCAGUGCUGAAAACCUCACAAGAGAGCCUAAUUUUUCAAGAUCACAGUCCGGCUUCCAGACUGAAGAGUUUUAAGCCACGAAUCCAAAUGUUGGGAGGCUUAUCCCAGGGAAAGCAUGGGACUGGGGUUCAUGGGGUUCAAAAUGAUCUGGACAAACUGGAGAAAUGGUCUGAAGUAAAUAGGAUGAAAU